rnacentral:rRNA from 1 species
AGCUCCAGUAGCGUAUAUUAAAGUUGUUGCAGUUAAAAAGCUCGUAGUUGGAUUUCUGGUUGACCGCGUAUGGUCUGGUGUCUCUGAUACUGUGAACCGUCGCGUGUUUACCAUCCUUCCAGAAAGUUGUGCCUACCGCCUCGUGCGGCAGGGCGCUGCGAUCUGGAUCGUUUACUUUGAAAAAAUUAGAGUGUUUCACGCAGGCUUACGCCUUGAAUACAUUAGCAUGGAAUAAUAACAUAGGACUUCGUUUUCUUAUUUUGUUGGUUUUCAGAACCGGGGUAAUGAUUGAUAGGGACAGUUGGGGGUGCUAGUAUUCAGCGGCCAGAGGUGAAAUUCUUGGAUUCGCUGAAGACUAACUACUGCGAAAGCAUUCACCAAGGAUGUCUUCUUUA